rnacentral:rRNA from 1 species
UACGAAGGGUGCAAACGUUGCUCGGAAUUAUUGGGCGUAAAGCGCACGUAGGCGGCAUUGCAAGUCGGAUGUGAAAUCCCUCGGCUUAACCAACGGAAGUGCAUCCGAAACUGCAGUGUACUUGAGUACUUAAGAGGAUCGCGGAAUUCCCGGUGUAGAGGUGAAAUUCGUAGAGUAUACGGGAGGAACACCAGUGGCGAAGGCGGACGAUCUGGGUAGAUACUGACGCUGAGGUGCGAAAGCGUGGGGAGCAAACAGG